rnacentral:rRNA from 1 species
UACCGGCGGCUCGAGUGGUGGCCACUUUUAUUGGGCUUAAAGCGUUCGUAGCUGGGUUGUUAAGUCUCUUGGGAAAUCUGACGGCUCAACCGUCAGGCGUCUAAGGGAUACUGGCAAUCUUGGAACCGGGAGAGGUGAGGGGUACUUCGGGGGUAGGAGUGAAAUCCUGUAAUCCUCGAGGGACCACCUGUGGCGAAGGCGCCUCACCAGAACGGCUUCGACAGUGAGGGACGAAAGCUGGGGGAGCAAACCGGAUUAGAUACCCGGGUAGUCCCAGCCGUAAACGAUGCGCGUUAGGUGUAUCGGUGACCACGAGUCACCGAGGUGCCGAAGGGAAACCGUGAAACGUGCCGCCUGGGAA